rnacentral:rRNA from 1 species
UACGAAGGGGGCAAGCGUUGUUCGGAAUUACUGGGCGUAAAGGGCGCGUAGGCGGAUCUGUGCGUCAGAGGUGAAAGCCCUGGGCUCAACCCGGGAAUGGCCUUUGAAACGGCGGGUCUUGAGUGAGGGAGAGGAGUGCGGAAUACCCAGUGUAGAGGUGAAAUUCGUAGAUAUUGGGUAGAACACCGGUGGCGAAGGCGGCACUCUGGCCCUUAACUGACGCUGAGGCGCGAAAGCGUGGGGAGCAAAC